UGUCCUCUGCAGGAUGGUAGGAGAACUGCAGGUGUGUGUUAUCCAGUGCUGAUCUCUGUGUGUGUGUGUGUGUGUGUGUGUGUGUGUGUGUGUGUGUGUGUGUGUUUGUUUCAGUAUAUAACGGCUCCAGCUCGUGUGGCCCCUAUGCAAGGAACAUUCAUCCAUCAGUUAAUGCCGGUAUCUCCUGUAGAGGUAAAUCAUGCAUGUUUCAUGAGUUACAUAAAUACUAGGGCUGCACAAUUGCACUGCAGCUCUCGAUCACUCAGUGUCCUCUGCAGGAUGGUAGGAGAACUGCAGGUGUGUGUUAUCCAGUGCUGAUCUCUGUGUGUGUGUGUGUGUGUGUGUGUGUGUGUGUGUGUGUGUGUGUGUGUGUGUGUGUGUGUGUGUGUGUGUGUGUGUGUGUUUCAGUAUAUAACGGCUCCAGCUCGUGUGGCCCCUAUGCAAGGAACAUUCAUCCGUCAGUUAAUGCCGGUAUCUCCUGUAGAGGGUGUAGUAACAGAAGCUCCCUCAUCACAGGAUGUCCAUGUAGCACGGCAACAGAUCACCAUGGACACCAGCGACCACAUUCAACCCUGCUCCUACCAGUCCAAAUAGCAUCCUGGAGAGGUGAAUGUACAUCAGCGUUGCCUUCUGAUGGACGCUCUGCACUCAGAUUAUGGACACGCAAUGAACUUCCAGGUGACCUCAGCACCAAAAACACUGACUUGACUCAUUCCCCACCUGGACUGUAGGACACCGCAGGGCCGCUUCAUGAGCUGAUGAUUGUUUUUUUUUCUUUGUCUGUUGGACUGAAGCUCCUUCAGAGAGUUCAUAAAUAUGAAAACAUUGCGUUGAUGGAUGCGGAUAUGAUGUACAAUGAUAAAGAAGAACACGUAUCGUCUUCCUCAGAUAUUAAGCUAUUGCAUCUUUAUAUUCUGUUGAUUUUCUUCUGUCAAGUGUUGGUUUUGUAGGAGUUUACAUAAAUCUCAGUUGCCUUAAUUUUGAAUACAUUUGAAUUAUGUUUAAUAUCCGGUAUCGUGUGUUAAUCAUGUUGGGACUGAAUCCUGAUAUCACCUUUUCUUCAUUUGAAGAAAAAUGAGGUAAUUAUAAUUUUCCUGAAUGCAUUGCAUUUUACUGAACAUUAAUUUUCACAAAGAGGGAAAAACAGUACAGCAGUUUGCUGCAAUUGAUAAACAUUCGUUUUUUGGGGGGGGG
rnacentral:lncRNA from 1 species